GGAGGUUUGGCAGAGUGGUCGAUUGCACCGGUCUUGAAAACCGGCGGGCGUGAGAGCGUCCCCAGGGUUCGAAUCCCUGAGCCUCCGCCA
rnacentral:tRNA from 2 species